rnacentral:rRNA from 1 species
AGAGUUUGAUCAUGGCUCAGAACGAACGCUGGCGGCAGGCUUAAGACAUGCAAGUCGAACGCCCCGCAAGGGGAGUGGCAGACGGGUGAGUAACGCGUGGGAACAUGCCCCAAGGUACGGAAUAUUCCCGGGAAACUGGGAGCAAUACCGUAUGUGACCGAGAGGUGAAAGAUUUAUCGCCUUGGGAUUGGCCCGCGUUGGAUUAGCUAGUUGGCGGUGUAAUGGACCACCAAGGCGACGAUCCAUAGCUGGUCUGAGAGGAUGAUCAGCCACACUGGGACUGAGACACGGCCCAGACUCCUACGGGAGGCAGCAGUCGGGAAUCUUGGACAAUGGGCGCAAGCCUGAUCCAGCCAUGCCGCGUGAAUGAUGAAGGCCUUAGGGUUGUAAAAUUCUUUCGUCGGGGACGAUAAUGACGGUACCCGAAGAAGAAGCUCCGGCUAACUUCGUGCCAGCAGCCGCGGUAAUACGAAGGGGGCUAGCGUUGUUCGGAAUUACUGGGCGUAAAGCGCGUGUAGGCGGGUCGUUAAGUCGGGGGUGAAAGCCCAGAGCUCAACUCUGGAACUGCCUUCGAUACUGGCGACCUGGACCCAAGUAGAGGCGAGUGGAAUUGCGAGUGUAGAGGUGAAAUUCGUAGAUAUUCGCAGGAACACCAGUGGCGAAGGCGACUCGCUGGACUUGUGGUGACGCUGAGACGCGAAAGCGUGGGGAGCAAACAGGAUUAGAUACCCUAGUAGUCC